ACCCGCAGUGGUACCCGGCCCGACAGUCGCUGCGCCUGGACCCCAAGGGGAAGUCGCUCAAGGACGAGGACGUGCUGCAGAACCUGCCCGUGGGCACCACAGCCACCUUCUACUUCCGCGACCUGGGCGCGCAGAUCAGCUGGG